rnacentral:lncRNA from 1 species
UCAAGACCUUUUCAAGAGACUCUUGAGGAUAUGUAGAGCAAUAAUAAUUUGAAAAAAGUUAGCAUUAAUGUGUAGGCUUGAACGUAAACUAUAACAUAUUUUAGAGAGAUAAUUGUAUAUAGAUGUCGGAUCGUUGACACUAAUCAUUAAUUCCAAAAGCUCGGGCUGUUAGAAAUAUACAACCAAUUCACUUAAAGCAUACAGAUACAAUACCUAUGGAUUUUGGUUAUCACUCGGCCCAACCAAUCCCAUACCAUUUCGAACAUGACUCGGCCCACCCAGCCUCACGUCAUUUCGAAUAUGACUCAGCUUACCCAGCCUCACGCCAUUUCAAACAUGACUCGGCCCAAUAUGGCCUCCUGCCACAAAGCAGGAUGCUGACUCAUUUAAGCCAACAAUUUCUCCUCUAGCACCUGCACACAUUCGUAGCACACAAAAAUCAAAUCUGUGAUCUCUGACUCUGAUACCACUUGUCGGAUCGUUGACGCUUAUCAUUGAAACAAGAGAAUUGAGAAAUUUUUAAUAUAUUAUUCAUACAAAUCCAUUCUCUUAUAUAAAGAGAGGAAAAAAGGUUUACAUGGAAGUACAUGAUCGCAUCCUGUUAUACAAAGAAAUAAUCAAAAGGAUA